GUAGGUGGUGUAUUCGCGCGUGGCGCGUGUGUGUAAGAACGACAGCGGCGGCUCCACGCGGGUGUUGGAUCGCCACUGGACGUCGUUUCUGAAGGCGCGUCUGAACUGCUCGGUUCCUGGAGACAUGUUCUUCUACUUUGACGUGCUGCAGUCGCUCACCAACGUGCUGCAGAUCAACCAGCGGCCCGCUGUGGUGGGAGUCUUCACCACACAGAUCAACAGCAUUCCCGGCUCAGCAGUGUGUGGGUUUUAUCUGGAUGAUAUUGAGCGAGUGUUUAAUGGGAAGUUUAAGGAGCAGAAGAACAGUGAUUCAGUGUGGAUGCCAGUACCUGAGGAACACGUGCCCAGACCACGUCCAGGUUCAUGUGCAGGUGAAGGUUCAGCUUCCUCCUACUCGUCCUCUGUUCAGUUUCCAGACUCUGUGCUUUCAUUUAUUAAGACGCAUCCGCUGAUGGACGAGUCUGUGCCGUCAAUCAACAGCCAACCACUGAUCACCAGCACCGCCAGCAGGUACCACACA